rnacentral:rRNA from 1 species
GGAAUCUUGCGCAAUGGGCGAAAGCCUGACGCAGCCACGCCGCGUGCAGGAAGACACUCCUAUGGGGCGUAAACUGCUUUUCUGCGAGAAGAAGACCCUCCUCGGGAGGGCGUGACGGUAUCGCAGGAAGAAGGACCGGCUAACUCCGUGCCCGCAGCCGCGGGAAUACGGAGGGUCCAAGCGUUGUCCGGAAUUACUGGGUGUAAAGGGUGUGUAGGCGGAGUUGUAAGUCAGGGGUGAAAGCCUGCGGCUUAACCGUAGAAUUGCCUUUGAUACUGCGACUCUUGAGUCCCGGAGAGGCCACUGGAAUUCGUGGUGUAGCGGUGAAAUGCGUAGAUAUCACGAGGAACACCAGAAGCGUAGGCGGGUGGCUGGACGGCGACUGACGCUGAGGCACGAAAGCGUGGGGAGCAAA